GAUGAACGCUGGCGGCGUGCCUAACACAUGCAAGUCGAGCGAACCCUUCGGGGUGAGCGGCGGACGGGUGAGUAACGCGUGGGUAACCUGCCCUAUACACACGGAUAACGUACCGAAAGGUACGCUAAUACGGGAUAAAGUUGUUGGAUGGCAUCUUCUAACAAUCAAAGCUCCGGCGGUAUAGGAUGGACCCGCGUCUGAUUAGCUAGUUGGUGAGGUAAUGGCUCACCAAGGCGACGAUCAGUAGCCGACCUGAGAGGGUGAUCGGCCACACUGGAACUGCGACACGGUCCAGACUCCUACGGGAGGCAGCAGUGGGGAAUAUUGCACAAUGGGCGAAAGCCUGAUGCAGCAACGCCGCGUGAGCGAUGAAGGUCUUCGGAUCGUAAAGCUCUGUCCUCAAGGAAGAUAAUGACGGUACUUGAGGAGGAAGCCCCGGCUAACUACGUGCCAGCAGCCGCCGCAG
rnacentral:rRNA from 1 species